CCUCCCUCCCCCCCCUCCCCCCGGCGAGCAGUCCGAUGUGCGUUAAACAUGGGAAUCUCCGCCGCGGCCAGUCCGCGGAAGCAGAUUAUAUUCUCCUCAACAGCUCAUUUUCUACCGAGCUUCAAGGCUUGUCCGAAGCUUUCCGAGGGCUCUGGGAGCCCGAUGUUCCUCCGGGCGAUCAGUCCCGGUUCUCGGCUGAGCACGCGGUCACAGAGAGCCCCGGAGGCGUCCCGGGCGCGCCGCUGGGGAGUCUCAAGGCGGAUUCGAACCCAGAUCUGGGAUUCUGGCUACUACACGCCCCAGCUCUCCAGGAGGAGGAGGAAGAGGAGGCCGGCGCUGAAGAAGGCAAGGGGGGGAAGAUAGAAGGGAGAAGGAAAAGGAGAGAAUUCCGUGGCCGCCCAGGCAGCUGUCCCGGAGCAGGACCUGACCUCUGCCCCCCGGCAGAGCUGAGAACUGGGGAGGGUCUGGGGAGGGGCGUGCGCUUCGCAAAGAGAGGCAGGCGCACAGCGGGGGCGGGAGCAGGCACACAGGGAUGGGGGGAGGGGCGGGUAAAUGCGCGCACCCCCCAUGCACCCGAAGCUUUUUGAGGAACAAAAACCGAAACCGAAAGGCCCCAGAACGCAGCGCCAGCCCCGUUUCGGUUUUGCCCCCGGAACAGACACAGAAAAGCGCCUCCCGCGCGGAGGCCGCCCAGGUCCCGAGAGCAGGACCUGGGACCCCGGGCUUCCCAGGCUUCUCCUCUCAGGCUUCUCCUCUCGGACCUCCAGAGGGCGCUGUUUUAUGGGAAAGCCUCGGGGGAUCGUGGAAGGAUCCCGCUUCCCCGGGAGCCUGCGGAGGACUGGGGAGCCCCUGGAGGACCGGGGAGCCUGCGGAGGACCGAGGAGCCUGCGGAGGACCGGGGAGCCCCCGGAGGAAAGGGCAGACGGGGCCGAGCCAACACUUUUGGGAUUGGAGAGAUCGGGACCGGCUCGUUUUACAAAGAGGGAAACCGAGGCCCAGGGAGACCAAGUUCAAGGUCACGUGGGCGGGGUGAUUUGGCCGCAGUCCGGAGGGGAUGGGCCCACGGGCCGCGAGGGGCACGGCCGGGCGUGGGGGUGAGCCCCCUGCCUGUCAGAAUGCUCGCGUGGGAGGGCCGGGCACGGGGACCUAGCGCGAGGUGGGUCCCACUUCCAAGCCCCAACCCCCUCGUUUUCAGAUAAGGAGGCUGUGGCAGAGGCAGGACUGUGCCAGGCUGGCCCCCGCCUAGAACCCGAGCCCUGUGGCCCGGCCACCUGAGGACGAGCCGCUCCGGAAGCCCUUCCCCUCUGACAGCUGUUCCUAGGUCAGGGGUCAGCCCUGUGGGGGCUGGGCUGCCUUUGGUUCAGCUUGGGGGUCCCUGGGAAGGGCUGGGCAGUCCUCGGUCCCAGAUCGGCCCUGUGGGAGCCGGGUAGUCCUUGGUCCAAGGCCAGCGUGGAGGAUCCUAUCCGGGCUGGAUCAUCUUAACCUUGGGGACCUAGCUCCGAGAGGGCUGGCCAGGUGACAUUCCAAGCACACUGGUUCCUGGGAAGGCGCCUUGGCCCUAGACUUCCCUCUGCCCAUCUGCCAGGGCCCCGAAGCUCCCCACUGGGACAGCUGGAUGCCAGGAGAAGCCGGGUCACGGGGGAGCAAAUGGCCAAGAUGGGAUUUGAACCCAGAUCCCCAUUCUUGGAGUUGGGAGCUUGGCCGAUCUCUGCUUCCCAGCUCCCUUCAUUUAACAAAGAGAGGAAAGCAAAACGAAGAGAAGAAAUGGGAUUUGCCCGGAUCCUCAGCAAGGCCGCGAGAGAAGCAGGAUUUGAAUCCAGACCUUCCCACUCCAGUACAAUCUUGUUUUGUUCUCGUACACACAAAACCUGCUUCUUCCUAUUUGUCCCUGCCCACUCUCACUCUAGAUCUGAGACUACUGAGCUCAUUGAGUGGCUUCAGUAAAUUACCCUGAGUAAAUUAUCCUGGUAGAGACCGAGGGCAAUCUGAGAAUCAUGGCUCUGGAGGGCUGUUCAAACACCCCCCCACCCCACCCCCAAGCUUCCUGAUGUAGGGAGUAGUAUGUUUGGGGGGAGAUAGUGAAGGGGGCUUCCUGGUAUGGAAAGUCCCUGCACCAGUGCUGCGGGCCUGCCAUUCUGUAACUUAUCUUCUUAGGAGCUUUGGGGGAGGGGAAGCAAGAGAUCAGGAAACUUGCUCAGAGUCACAUGGCUAGAAGUAUCCAAAGGAAGACUUGAACUCACAGUCAUUGUGGCCUUGGAAUCCCGUGCUUGCCUUCCUCGGUAACCGAGGAUAGGUGUCAUCACACCAUCUGACAGGGGAGGAAAUUGAGGCUCAGGCUAGCGGUAGGUUCGUGAAAAGGACGCACUGUUACAUGGAAGGGGAGACCCCUAAGGGAGCUUGUCCCGGCUGACCUAGUUGUUGCAUAUAUGCAGACACGCCGGUUUCAUGUGUGACCUAUGGGUGUGGGCUAAGGGAGAGCAAGGGCAUGUGCCUUCCUGCCUUUCUCUCUUAUUAUCCCUAACACAAUCAUCACUAUAGUGCCGGUUCCUAGAAAAGAGAGGGGGAAAUCCCCCCCCUUUCUCUGCAGAGGUGAGGGGUUAUGGGAAUGGAACAUCAUAUCCGCCCUCAGACUCGAUUGGUAUGUUCGGUCGUUUUGAUGAAACAACAUUCUCCCUUUCUCUUUUUUUAAUAUUAUGUCACUAGAAAUAGCUCCCUGGGUGCAGGAAAGAAGGGGGAAAGAUUCAGGGAAAUUUGGCCUGAAGAAGAGACUGUGGGGAGGAAGAAUUUAAAAGCUGUCUCGAAGAACCCGGAAGGCUGCCCCGUGGAAGAGCACCCAAGUCCAGCCAAACCGGCCUUCCUGCUGCUCCUCACCCAGAACAUCGCCUUUUCCAUCUCCAUGCAUUUGCCUUCUGCCUGAAAUGCUCACCAUCUCCCCUCUGCUUCUCCGAAUCCACCUUCUUUUCCCGAUUGCUCUCCUUCUCUCUCUCCAGUGACCUUGUAUUUAUGGGACAUAGACUGUAUAUGUGCUUAUCUAUGUGUAUACCUAUGUACAUUAAUAAAUGCACACGCAGAAAAGUACAAGAUAGAAUAGAAAUUUCUUGUAGUCUAGAUCAAUUAUUUAAAGGGGGGUGACAUUAUUUUUAUCUUUGAAGUCUCAGUGCUCAGGUUCAUAAUUGGUGCUUAAUAAAUGCUUUUAGACUGAUCCAGGAGGUGGAGGAAGCUGAGUUCUCUCAAGAUAAUACUUAUUAAAAGCUCUUAGUUCA